rnacentral:rRNA from 1 species
AUUGAACGCUGGCGGCAGGCCUAACACAUGCAGGUCGAGCGGCAGCGGGAAAGUAGCUUGCUACUUUUGCCGGCGAGCGGCGGACGGGUGAGUAAUGCCUGGGAAAUUGCCCAGUCGAGGGGGAUAGCAGUUGGAAACGACUGCUAAUACCGCAUACGCCCUACAGGGGAAAGCAGGGGACCUUCGGGCCUUGCGCGAUUGGAUAUGCCCAGGUGGGAUUAGCUAGUUGGUGAGGUAAUGGCUCACCAAGGCGACGAUCCCUAGCUGGUCUGAGAGGAUGAUCAGCCACACUGGAACUGAGACACGGUCCAGACUCCUACGGGAGGCAGCAGUGGGGAAUAUUGCACAAUGGGGGAAACCCUGAUGCAGCCAUGCCGCGUGUGUGAAGAAGGCCUUCGGGUUGUAAAGCACUUUCAGCGAGGAGGAAAGGUUGAUGCCUAAUACGUAUCAACUGUGACGUUACUCGCAGAAGAAGCACCGGCUAACUCCGUGCCAGCCGCCGCGGUAA